AUAAAGUUUUAUUUUAGCUUAAAUAUUUAUUAUUAAUAUAAUUUAUAUACAAGUUUUUGCGUGAAUUUUUUAUUAUUUAAAAAAUAAUAAAAUUAUAAAUAUUUGUAGUAAUUGAUAUUAUUAAUUAAAGAAAUUUAGAAAUAGUAAUAUUAAAUAAUAUUGACUAAAUUUGUGCCAGCAGUCGCGGUUAGACAAAAAAUAUAAAUAAAUAUUUUUAGUUUAAAGUUAAAUGUUUAAUUAUAAAAUAAAAUUAAUUUUAUUAAGUGAAAUUUUAAAAUUAAUAAUAUUUAUAAAAUUUAAAUUGAAGCUUAGAAAUUUAAUUAAUAAACUAGGAUUAGAUACCCUAUUAUUUUAAAUGUAAUUUAAAAAACUAGAGUAUUAAUAGUUAUAUUCUUUAAACUUAAAAAAUUUGGCGGUAUUUUAGUCUAUUCAGAGGAACCUGUUUUUUAAUCGAUAUUCCACGUUGGACCUUACUUAAUAUUAUAAAUUAAUUUGUAUACCGUCGUUAUAGAAAAUUUUAUAAGAAUAAUAAUUUUCAAUAAAUUUAAAUAAAAUUAUAUAUCAGAUCAAGGUGCAGUUUAUUAUUAAGAUAAUAAUGGGUUACAAUAAAUUUAUUUAAAUGGAUAUAAAUAUGAAAAAUUUAUUGAAAGUGGAUUUGAAAGUAAAAUUAUAUAGAUUAAUAAUUUGAUUUUAGCUCUAAAAUAUGUACAUAUCGCCCGUCACUCUUAUUUUAAGAUAAGAUAAGUCGUAACAUAGUAGAUGUACUGGAAAGUGUAUCUAGAUUCAA
rnacentral:ncRNA from 1 species